rnacentral:rRNA from 1 species
AGAGUUUGAUCCUGGCUCAGGAUGAACGCUGGCGGCGUGCCUAACACAUGCAAGUCGAGGGGCAGCGGGGAGGAAGCUUGCUUUCUCCGCCGGCGACCGGCGCACGGGUGAGUAACACGUAUGCAACCUGCCCCUGUCAGGGGGACAACCCGCCGAAAGGCGGGCUAAACCCGCGUACAUGCCACCGGGGCAUCCCGGAGGCAGGAAAGGCUUCGGCCGGACAGGGAUGGGCAUGCGGCGCAUUAGGCAGUAGGCGGGGUAACGGCCCACCUAACCGACGAUGCGUAGGGGUUCUGAGAGGAAGGUCCCCCACACUGGUACUGAGACACGGACCAGACUCCUACGGGAGGCAGCAGUGAGGAAUAUUGGUCAAUGGUCGGGAGACUGAACCAGCCAAGCCGCGUGAGGGAGGAAGGUACAGAGUAUCGUAAACCUCUUUUGUCAGGGAACAAAGGCGGGGACGUGUCCCCGGAUGAGUGUACCUGAAGAAAAAGCAUCGGCUAACUCCGUGCCAGCAGCCGCGGUAAUACGGAGGAUGCGAGCGUUAUCCGGAUUUAUUGGGUUUAAAGGGUGCGCAGGCGGUCUGUUAAGUCAGCGGUCAAAGCCCGGGGCUCAACCCCGGCCCGCCGUUGAAACUGGCAGUCUCGAGUUGGAGAGAAGUAUGCGGAAUGCGCGGUGUAGCGGUGAAAUGCAUAGAUAUCGCGCAGAACUCCGAUUGCGAAGGCAGCAUGCCGGCUCCACACUGACGCUGAGGCACGAAAGCGUGGGUAUCGAACAGGAUUAGAUACCCUGGUAGUCCACGCAGUAAACGAUGAAUGCUGGCUGUCCGGGGGGACUGACCCCUGGGUGGCGAAGCGAAAGCGAUAAGCAUUCCACCUGGGGAGUACGCCGGCAACGGUGAAACUCAAAGGAAUUGACGGGGGCCCGCACAAGCGGAGGAACAUGUGGUUUAAUUCGAUGAUACGCGAGGAACCUUACCCGGGCUCAAACGGGGAGUGGCGCAGGCAGAGACGCCUGUUUCCCACGGGACACUCCCCGAGGUGCUGCAUGGUUGUCGUCAGCUCGUGCCGUGAGGUGUCGGCUUAAGUGCCAUAACGAGCGCAACCCCCGCGUGCAGUUGCUAACAGUCAACGCUGAGGACUCUGCACGGACUGCCGGCGCAAGCCGCGAGGAAGGCGGGAAUGACGUCAAAUCAGCACGGCCCUUACGUCCGGGGCGACACACGUGUUACAAUGGGUGGUACAGCGGGAAGCCAGGCGGCGACGCCGAGCGGAACCCGAAAUCCACUCUCAGUUCGGAUCGGAGUCUGCAACCCGACUCCGUGAAGCUGGAUUCGCUAGUAAUCGCGCAUCAGCCAUGGCGCGGUGAAUACGUUCCCGGGCCUUGCACACACCGCCCGUCA